CUUUUGUAGAAUGAACCGGCGAGUUACGAUUUGAUGCAAGGUUAAGCAGUAAAUGUGGAGCCGUAGCGAAAGCGAGUCUGAAUAGGGCGUUUAGUAUUUGGUCGUAGACCCGAAACCAGGUGAUCUACCCUUGGUCAGGUUGAAGUUCAGGUAACACUGAAUGGAGGACCGAACCGACUUACGUUGAAAAGUGAGCGGAUGAACUGAGGGUAGCGGAGAAAUUCCAAUCGAACCUGGAGAUAGCUGGUUCUCUCCGAAAUAGCUUUAGGGCUAGCCUCAAGUGAUGAUUAUUGGAGGUAGAGCACUGUUUGGACGAGGGGCCCCUCUCGGGUUACCGAAUUCAGACAAACUCCGAAUGCCAAUUAAUUUAACUUGGGAGUCAGAACAUGGGUGAUAAGGUCCGUGUUCGAAAGGGAAACAGCCCAGACCACCAGCUAAGGUCCCAAAAUAUAUGUUAAGUGGAAAAGGAUGUGGCGUUGCCCAGACAACUAGGAUGUUGGCUUAGAAGCAGCCAUCAUUUAAAGAGUGCGUAAUAGCUCACUAGUCGAGUGACACUGCGCCGAAAAUGUACCGGGGCUAAACAUAUUACCGAAGCUGUGGAUUGUCCUUUGGACAAUGGUAGGAGAGCGUUCUAAGGGCGUUGAAGCAUGAUCGUAAGGACAUGUGGAGCGCUUAGAAGUGAGAAUGCCGGUGUGAGUAGCGAAAGACGGGUGAGAAUCCCGUCCACCGAUUGACUAAGGUUUCCAGAGGAAGGCUCGUCCGCUCUGGGUUAGUCGGGUCCUAAGCUGAGGCCGACAGGCGUAGGCGAUGGAUAACAGGUUGAUAUUCCUGUACCACCUAUA
rnacentral:rRNA from 1 species